rnacentral:rRNA from 1 species
AGAGUUUGAUCCUGGCUCAGGAUGAACGCUAGCUACAGGCUUAACACAUGCAAGUCGAGGGGAAACGACAUCGAAAGCUUGCUUUUGAUGGGCGUCGACCGGCGCACGGGUGAGUAACGCGUAUCCAACCUGCCCACCACUUGGGGAUAACCUUGCGAAAGUAAGACUAAUACCCAAUGAUAUCCCUAGAAGACAUCUGAAAGAGAUUAAAGAUUUAUCAGUGAUGGAUGGGGAUGCGUCUGAUUAGCUUGUUGGCGGGUAACGGCCACAAGGCGACGAUCAGUAGGGGUUCUGAGAGGAAGGUCCCCCANAUUGGAACUGAGACACGGUCCAAACUCCUACGGGAGGCA